UCCUCGCUGUGUUCGCUCCCACCGACGAGACAGGCGGCGCCCCGCCACCAAGGCCGGAACCAUAUCGGCGCGGCCGGCUUGCUCGCCGGCGCGCACGUGCAACGAUGCGCGGCGCUCCGCCGAGCUCGCCUGACCGCGUCGGGCGCGUUGCCCAUGCCGCGCGAUGAGGCUGCUGGACGCCGGCGAGGCCCUGCCGGCCAUUAGAGCUGCGAUGCAUCUCCGGUCCCUCCCCCCGGCGAAGGCGCUUCCUUCGCCAUGCUCCAUCGGGGCGGCCAGCUUCAUCGCCACACGCAGCCCGGGGUUGCCAUCCUCGACAGAGCGCCCUCCUCUGCGGCAGCAACUCCGCUCCGUCCUGGCCGUGUCCUACGACAUGCUCGCCGGGAACAAGUCCAAGCCCGCCGGACCAGGACUUGGUGAAGAAGUACUCUGAGUUGAGUUCAUCAGUUUCCCCAUUUACUUUGUGCGCAAACAAGGCGUUUUGGGUGAAGGUGUUGCUGCUAAGCUUGAAAUCCAGAUUAAGUUGGACACGGAGAACAAGAUUCUGUCCAUUCGGGUUAGGGGUGUUGGUAUGACCAAGGAAGAUCUGAUUAAGAAGCUUGAAACCAUUGUGAAAUCUGUAACUUCAGGUUGCCCUGUUCUUGGACCGGUUGUGGGUAGGUAGCUGCUUGGGCGCGCAGCCGGAGUGGUGGUGUAGGUGUUGCUGCCUUAGGUGUGGCCCUGGUGAAGUGAAGGUGGUUGAGGCUGUGGCGGCCAGAUGGACAUGAUCUUUUCAAUUUUGGGCCAUGGUUGCUGUAUCUAGGGAUUUGUGUUGGUCAGGUUCAGUUGUGGCUACUGGAGCAAUUGUUUUAUAUUUCCCUUCCAUGAAGCAAGCGGAGUUGAGAAUCCAGAAAGUUGGUCGUCCAUUUGGGCAAGUAAAAUGUUACUAAUUCAGCAUUGGAGUGGUAGGUUGUGUAAAAAGAUGAAGAUGGUGGCCCAUUUUUCUUUUUACUGUAUCGUGGUGAUGGUGGCUGGCCGUUAGAGUCUGUUAUAAUUGGUUUGCAGAUAAGGAUUAGAGUUUGCAAGUAAUUGGCCCCGUUGUGCUUGUAGCCAGGCUUGUCACUUGUUUACCGCGCAUGAUCAUAGUUGUGAUCACACAGUUGCAAUUUUGUUGUCUAGUAAUUCGCGAUGCGAAUGUCCAGAAUGUGGUGCCAAAAUUUUGAAUUUGAU